UGGGAUCUUGGUCACAGUGAUAUCUCAA
rnacentral:piRNA from 1 species